rnacentral:lncRNA from 1 species
UAACACUCUGACUGAACAAGCAGAACGUUUUCAAGGUCUAUAUCAAGAAACUCUGAAUAGAGUAAAUGACUUUGAAAAGGGUUGUGCUGUUUGUCACAAACCUAUUGAUGAGCAGGAAAUAGCUUUUCAACAGUUUGUGCAUCUCAACCUUGGUAAGAGCAAAGAUGCUAAUCUUGUUUAUAAUGUCAUGAGACAUAGAGGAGAGGGACUUGGCUAUGAAUAUGGUAGAACAUAUUCAAAGCUGAAGACCUCUGCCAAAAAGGUUGGAAAAUCUUGGGUUUACUAUGUUGUACCUCAGAGUGAAGAAGGAAAGAAAUUUGGGUCUCUGGAAAAUGAGGAUGAUAAUCUGAGAGAAUUGGGAAAUGACAACUCAGAGGAAC